CCCGCCGACGUUUCCAAUGAUUCGAUCAAAGUGACGGGGUUGCACUAUUUAUAUUGGCGACCACAUAGCGAGUUAUGGGAACGUAAUAGUUCCCGGUAUCGCUGUCACACGCUCCCGGCCGAGCAUAUGAGGAAACGGCGGCAGCCCCUUCUCAGUCGCACCUGUGUUUCCGUACCAUGUGCGUCUCUGCCUGAGGACGGGAGCAGAUAGCAGUUCCCGAAACGUCGCUUGUUUCUGUUUAGGUAAAACUAUUGUAUUUGUUUGUUUUUUCGUUUUGUCAUGUUUUUUGUCUCGCUUCAACUGUUGUGCUGAAUUAUUUUGGGUUUCAAUAUUUUCGUGUUGUCCUCAUUUGUGGGGAUUUUUCGUUCUCUUAGUACAUUUUUCUUUGUUUUUUCUUUGUUUGCUGACCAUAUUCCUGUUUCGGAAUAUUUUGUGGUGUUCAUAUCCUUGUUGACAACAGCAAUUGUUUGCUUUAUUUUGUGUGUUUUUUGUAUCUUUUUUUGUUUUUUUUUUUUAAUUUUUUUUUUAUUUUUUAUUUUUUUUUAAUUUUAUUUAUUAGUUUUUCUUCAACAGAAAAAGUUCUUAGCAAUGGCGUAUGUCCAAAAACUUACAUCAAGUUAUUUCCAUGACAUCAGUUAUUUUAUACUAGUGUAUCAAGGGGCAGAAUAUUGCUUAUCAAAAUAUCUAUAAAAAAAUAUUUUGGUAAAGAAAAUACCUUAUUAUAUCACUUGCCUCACAGAAACAAGAUUCAAUGAAAAAAAUUAAAAUUCGCGUUUCUUCAGUUACCAAUCAUAUCUUUAGAAAUGACAAGAAAGCUCAAACUCACUUUGAAUAAAAGAGGAGAAUUUUUAAAUGCAUUGAAUAAUCAUAAAUAUUAAUCAGUUUAACCUAUAGAUAAAUUUAAUUUCCCUGGAAUUCUGUGGUUACGAAUUAAAAUAUCCCCUACAAUCAUUCUUACUCAUAGUAAUAUUUAUUAACUUCUAUAGCAUUUAUAGCCUUUUUAGAUAUUCAUAAAGAUAAGCUAGACACCUGUGAAAUAACUUAGUGGUCAUCUUGAGAUUCCUACGUUCCCUGUAGAGACCCAUCAACUAAAUUUAAACUUUUCUGGGUGUGGGUGGCCACACCGCACAUUCCUGUGAAAUAUCACGGGGCUCACUUGGGCCAGCGCGGCCUAAGGUAAUAAGUUGUGAUCUCAGAUGUAACUUCAUAUAGGCUCACUGCUAACGAGCUGGUAGGUAUGGGCUUACUCUAUGUCCUUCCCCGAAGUUAACGACUAAGAUAGGACCCAAUGAAACAGGUCCAUGAUUUGAAAGGGCCUCAGUAGUAGAUGAUGUGAAUCAACAGUUUAAGUUCCCUCUAGGUUGCGGAGAAUGACAUUAUUAAAGUAAUUGUCUUGUAAAGUUACCAUUAAUAUUUAGGGUUGUGCGAAUGUUCGGUAUACCGAAACCGAAAUUUUGCUACUUUCAUUUUCGAUUUCGGUAAGAAUUUCAUCUGUCGAAGUUCGUUUUUAGCGAAAUAUUUCGAGCUAAACGAAAGUUCAAUAGCUUACCGAAGUUCGUUUGUUCUAGUUGAAAAAGAACUCGUAAUUUAAUAAAAAUGUACAGUAGAAUACCAGUACAAUAACGUACCUUAUUAUAACAUACAUUUCACUUUAACGUAUUUUUUUAAGUCCCCGCCAAAAAUCGUAUCUUCGCCAUGCAAAACGGUUUCAGUUUAAAGUAUCAUAUUUUCACUAUAACGUAUAAAUUCUACUAGUAGCGUGGCAUUACUACACCAAAAUUUACUUAAACUGGUAAAUAAAUUUCCAGCUAAAUGAUUAAUGUUGUAGAACAAAGAUACACAAAUACCACCGCAACGUAUUUUCUAACCUCUAAAUUCUCAAAACAAAGUUAACAAACAGUUGCGCGCACUUCCAUAGAUUAUACCGUACGUAGUAUGCGACGUGAGCAACACAACACCAUUCGAUACAUCGAAAGACGGAAGUUUGAGAGAAGUAUUAAUUAUUUAGACAAAAGUGUUACGCUACGCUAAAAAUACUGUUUGAUGUCUGUGCCGGGAUUGUUUAUUGUUAUUGUUGAGUUUAUUUUCAGGUUACGUUAUUUAGACACCGCAUUGUAUUUGUGAUACAAUAUGAAUGAUCCUGGAGAUAAAAAGAAACGAAAGCAAGCGCUGCAUAUUCGCGACACCCGCACGCUCUAUCGGAUAACGACUGACAGGACUGGCUCUUGUAUCCCGUUAAGGGGGCAUGGUAGAUAAAUAAAUGCUUUCAGCGUCAGUUGGACGUUAUAGGUUUUUGGAAGACAACAUUGAAAAACUGCAAAACCACAAUCCUAUAUAAUGUUAUUUGCCAACUUUAUUAGCAGACGUCCCAAAAUUACAAUUCUCAAGCGUUGUUUCUUCCGCAGCAAUUAAAUGUUCAAGUAACCUUCAGUUUUUAAUUAAUGCAUUUAGCUCUUGUUUGGAUACCAUGCCGCCUUAAGUAAUAGUUCCAGGAAGAAAGAGUACCAUAAUUUUACUUCAAAUUUUGACUUAGUAAAGUAUUCAAAUUGUAUUGUUUCAGACUAAAAUUUUUUUACUGAAUAUGAAUCUUACCUUACAUUCAUCCAGUGUUCUUUGAUUAAACAUUUGAUCAAUAUGAUAAUACAAAGCACGUGAUCUUGCUGAACAGAUGUUGCCUAAAUUCAAAGCACAUGAUCUUGCUGAAAGAAUGUAGCCUAAGUUAUAACUGGCCAAACAUAUACAGUAAAACUACGUUAUAACGUAAAUUUAUAACGGCGCCAAAAGUUUAUGUUACAUAUAGCAAAUUUUCGUUAUAGCCAAAAUUUAAAAAAAAAAAAAAAAACAUUUUUGUAGCAUUUUUAAAAUAUAUUUUUUUCUCUCUUGUUUUUACUAUGGAAAUUCACAACAAAAGUAAAGGAAAUAUACAUAAAACUUACUAACAUAACAUUUUUAAGCUAUAUCAGCACUUGCAGACUGCGAAAUAUGAGACUGCGUGGCUUGAUAAGGCCGUCACGCACAUCGUGGCUAAACGCACAGCUGUUUGUUUACCUGGAGACGGGCGGGCGGGGUCACGCAAGGUCUUGCUGGCCGCUUCCUGUCGCUUUGACCGCAGCUGGUUUGCUGGAGACAUGUGCGCUAAGCUGAUGAUAUCGGGUGCAUAUUUGCGGAGUUUUGAAUACUUACUAACAAUAUGUAAACUCAAAGAUGUAGUGAAAUUUAUUUUAAAAUUUGUCACAUUAUUACUCACGACACCUAUGAAAGAUGUCAAACACAUAAAAAAAAUUUAAAAAAUCUCUAAUUACGUUGGACAACCAUACAAAUUAUAUAAAAUAAUUUUUCCGACAAUUGGUCAGUAACACAAAAAUAAUCACCCGUACAAACCGUUGGAAAAUAACACAAAAUUAAAAAUCACUUUUUAAAAAAGAAUCAAUGUUCGUUUGCCUUUGAUUUCACUAGACUUUCGGACAAAAUAAACGACUGGACCUCUUGGAAGUUCAUCAAAUCUUUCGUCGAAGCAUUUGUUUGCUGAUAAAAACGACUGAUUGUGUCAAGUGCAUCCAUCAUUGACGUUUUCGACGGAACAGAAAUGCAACGCUUAUGAUGCAAGUGUGAGACGAGUUAUGCUCAUUUACAGGCUACAAUUGGCGUGAUUCUAAAUAAGUAAUGCUCGCAGCGGGACCCUGUCGUAGUGGGUUAACGACACUUGCUUUCGUCACCGCGAGGCAAGCUAUGCUCGCUGUGGGGCCCCACCUUGUGCGGUGUUGCCAAGACGGCCACAUCAUGCGCAUUGUUUCAUUUGCCGGAAUGCACAGUUCAUGAGUUAGUUCUCCGAAAUUCAUCGCCUCCUGCAAUCAGAGAAUUUCUGAAGAGUACCAGCUUUCAACGUCUUUUCCUCUGAGUGGAAAAACCACAAAAUAAUUUAUAAUUCUAAACAACCAGUUUCAGGACACUUUUUAUUUAUUUAACGAGUAAAUGUAAUUGGUUAUAAUUUGUUUUAUGAAGAGCCUGCGUGCUCAAUAUUCAAUGGCCUGUAAAGUUAAGAGACCAAAUGACCUAACAUUCAGUCAAGUAUAACCAUUGUUACUUAUGUAUAAUAUCUCGCCCCGGGGCCUCCCCAUUUUGUUUGUUGUUUAACAAGAUUUAAUGUAUCAAGUAUAGCAAAUAAGGUCAACAAUUUUCUUGGUAUUUUGUUUCGUCUGUAAUGCCAUGGGUCAUCUUCAGUUGAAUAACGUUUGUAAAUACAAAAACAACAGCAACAAAAUCAUUAAGUAAGAUUUAGUAAAUGCCUAUACAAACCAAACCAGAUCUUAUUAUUUUCUUACCCUGUGAUCACGAUCCACAUAACCUUCCCAAAUUUAAGGAGGUUAAUCAUAAAUUUUGUUGUGCGUGUUCUGUGCCCCUAUGGGUAAUGUGUUUAGUUCUGUUUUCUGCCUGGCGCUUCCACGGCCAAUCUUUAUUUGUUCUUUAGACGAAAUGCCACUUCAAGCACAGCCGUACUUAACAAAUUAAAAAUAUUAUUUUUUCUGAAGUUGGUCAUGUUACAAUUCAAAUUGAAGCCAAUUCAAUGACCUUUAAAAUUAGCUGUCAAACAGCCUUCUAGCAUCAUUGGUUGGAAACCUACAAGUAUUUGAGUGAUCCAAAACAUUGCUAAAAUUGGCUAUUUUUGCAAAUCACAAAAAUUUAUACAAAAAAACUACUCAAAAAAAUAUAUUUAUAAUGUAUUAAGUUGAUAUUACUAAUAUACAAAAAAACAUGAAAAUCUAAGGUGUAGAGGCCUCUGGUUGAUUUCAUAUGGAAUGACCCUAAACUAAAAUGACUUAAAUUAACCUAUCACAUAUUAUAAUUAAAACUAAACAAAAUCUUAAAGCUACUGGCUUAAAAUUACACUUCAACUGUGAAACCUGACUAACAAAACAUAUCCUUAAAGUUACUGAAAAUAAGCAAACUAGUAUACUUUUUACUAACUUCUACUCUUUUACAACACACACUCUUGUUAAAUUUUUUCUGCCACAUGAACCUUCUAGAUCAAAUAACUUGCGUAAGCCACCAAAUGUAGCGGGAAGGUUUAAAUCAAUUAGUAAACAAAAUUCUUAAAUGGUCAAUAAUUAAGUUGACAUGUCAAACAGGCUGUUAUGAUCUUUACUUGGAGGACCACUCACUUUUAUACACUCACUUGGCAUAGUUAUGCAAGAGGUUUAUAUUCAUAGUAGUUUAUCUUUAAUGAACACAAAUGUUUCCUACCAGGACCUUAAGGGUGUAGGUUAAGCACCCAGUACACAGUGCCUGGUGAAAUAUUAAACUAAUAAAUUUACUUAAAAAUAAUUAUCACUAUGAUAGUAACAUUAACAAAAAAUUUUUUAAAUAACAAAACACACUUAUAAAUUCUACACGUCAAUCUUUUUUUUUUUUUUAGGUUGCUUAAAAUUGGUAACUCGUAAUUACAAUUUAGUUAAACAACUUAAUCGAUCAACUAAACUAGAGUGAGUAUCAAAAUCCUUGACACCUUUAAUCUUUCUAAUAUUAACUAUUUUCUUCUUUUUCAGUAUUCUACACGGCAGUUUUCGUGACAACCGAAUACAUGGUCAGCACCACAAACAAGCAUCACAUUAAUGGAAUGAUUGCCAUGCCUAUCUACAUAUAUAGGUUCAAAGUCUGCUUGUGCAUCCAUAUUUAUUAAUGUUCCGUCCACUGCCCCACCUACGGAUGGCAUCCCUGCUAACUGACUGAACUGAUGUACUACUGUAGCUACAUCAUCAGGCCAUCGCACAUGUUCAGUUUCCAGCAGACAGCCACACUGCUUUGUCGACAUGUGCCCUGCCAUCUAGAGCCAGUCUGGGUGUGGGUGGCCACACCGCACAUUCCUGUGAGUGAGCUCGGGGCUCACUUGGGCCAGCGCGGCCUAAGGUAUGUAAGGAAAUUAGAAAAUGAGCUGAAACAUUAAACUCCUUGGACACUCCAUAGAAAGGAAGAAUUAUUUUCUGUUUAAUGCUGGCAUGUGAAGACAUUAGAACAUUUUCUUGUAGAUUAAAUUCUUUGGACAUUCAAUGAAAAUGAAUUAUUUUGUGAAUUUUUGUUAUAAUAGUGCUUUUUUUAUUUCACUUAGAAUUUUAUUUCAUUGCCAGUUAAUUAAUAGUAACUAAGAAAAUGAAAUAAAUUUUUUUUUUUUGGAGAAAUAAA